AUGCACUGGCGGUUCGGCGAGUCUCUCUGACGACUCGCUGAGCAGCCCCCGGGAAACCAAAGUCUUUCGGUUCCGGGGGAAGUACGGUUGCAAAGCUGAAACUUAAAGGAAUUGACGGAAGGGCACCACCAGGAGUGGAGCAUGCGGCUUAAUUUGACUCAACGCGGGAAAGUUCACCCGUCCCGGACACUGUCAGGAUUGACAGAUCAAGAGCUCUUUCUUGAUUCAGUGGAUAGUGGUGCAUGGCCGUUCUUAGUUGGUGGAGCGAUUUGUCUGGCCAAUCCCGAUAACGAACGAGACUCUGGCCUACUAACUAGUGACGGCGUGGUCUUUUCGCCGAGCACUUCUUAGAGGGACCAGCGGCGGUACAAAGCCGCACGAGAAAGAGCAAUAACAGGUCUGUGAUGCCCUUAGAUGGGCGGGGCUGCACGCGUGCUACACUGAUGGCAUCAA
rnacentral:rRNA from 1 species